rnacentral:rRNA from 1 species
GACGAACGCUGGCGGCGUGCCUAAUACAUGCAAGUUGAGCGCUGAAGGUUGGUACUUGUACCAACUGGAUGAGCAGCGAACGGGUGAGUAACGCGUGGGGAAUCUGCCUUUGAGCGGGGGACAACAUUUGGAAACGAAUGCUAAUACCGCAUAAAAACUUUAAACACAAGUUUUAAGUUUGAAAGAUGCAAUUGCAUCACUCAAAGAUGAUCCCGCGUUGUAUUAGCUAGUUGGUGAGGUAAAGGCUCACCAAGGCGAUGAUACAUAGCCGACCUGAGAGGGUGAUCGGCCACAUUGGGACUGAGACACGGCCCAAACCCCUACGGGAGGCAGCAGUAGGGAAUCUGCGGCAAUGGACGAAAGUCUGACCGAGCAACGCCGCGUGAGUGAAGAAGGUUUUCGGAUCGUAAAACUCUGUUGGUAGAGAAGAACGUGGUUGAGAGUGGAAAGCUCAUCAAGUGACGGUAACUACCCAGAAAGGGACGGCUAACUACGUG